rnacentral:rRNA from 1 species
CCGGCACGGGUGAGUAACACGUAUGCAAUCCACCUGUAACAGGGGAGUAACCCGGAGAAAUCGACUAAUACCCAUAAUAUGGGCGCUCCGCAUGGAGAGCCCAUUAAAGAGAGCAAUUUUGGUUACAGACGAGCAUGCGCUCCAUUAGCCAGUUGGCGGGGUAACGGCCCACCAAAGCGACGAUGGAUAGGGGUUCUGAGAGGAAGGUCCCCCACAUUGGAACUGAGACACGGUCCAA